CCUACGGGCGGCAGCAGUGGGGAAUAUUGCUCAAUGGGCGAAAGCCUGACGCAGCGACGCAGCGUGAGGGAUGAAGGUCUUCGGAUCGUAAACCUCUGUCAGCAGGGAAGAACGGUCACUGUGCUAAUCAACAGUGAAUUGACGGUACCUGCAAAGAAAGCACCGGCUAACUCCGUGCCAGCAGCCGCGGUAAUACGGAGGGUGCGAGCGUUAAUCGGAAUUAUUGGGCGUAAAGCGCUCGUAGGCGGUAUGUCAAGUCAAGGGUGAAAUCCCCGGGCUCAACGUGGGAACUGCCUUUGAAACUGGCAAACUGGAGUGAGUGAGAGGAUAGCGGAAUUCCAGGUGUAGGAGUGAAAUGCGUAGAUAUCUGGAGGAACA
rnacentral:rRNA from 1 species